rnacentral:rRNA from 1 species
AGAGUUUGAUCCUGGCUCAGGAUGAACGCUAGCGACAGGCCUAACACAUGCAAGUCGAGGGGCAUCGGGGCGAGGAGCAAUCCUUGCCGCCGGCGACCGGCGCACGGGUGAGUAACGCGUAUGCGACCUGCCCGUUGCAGGGGGAUAAUCGGGAGAAAUCCCGUCUAAUACCGCGUAACGCCGCGGGGCUGCAUGGCCCUGCGGCCAAAGGAAGCGAUUCCGGCAACGGAUGGGCAUGCGUGACAUUAGCUAGUUGGCGGGGCAACGGCCCACCAAGGCGACGAUGUCUAGGGGUUCUGAGAGGAAGGUCCCCCACACUGGUACUGAGACACGGACCAGACUCCUACGGGAGGCAGCAGUGAGGAAUAUUGGUCAAUGGGCGCGAGCCUGAACCAGCCAAGUCGCGUGAGGGAUGACGGCCCUACGGGUUGUAAACCUCUUUUGUCGGGGAGCAAAUUCCGCCACGUGUGGCGGAGUCGAGAGUACCCGAAGAAAAAGCAUCGGCUAACUCCGUGCCAGCAGCCGCGGUAAUACGGAGGAUGCGAGCGUUAUCCGGAUUUAUUGGGUUUAAAGGGUGCGUAGGCGGACUGUCAAGUCAGCGGUAAAAUACGGGGGCUCAACCUCCGCCCGCCGUUGAAACUGACGGUCUUGAGUGGGCGAGAAGUAUGCGGAAUGCGUGGUGUAGCGGUGAAAUGCAUAGAUAUCACGCAGAACUCCGAUUGCGAAGGCAGCAUACCGGCGCCCAACUGACGCUGAAGCACGAAAGCGUGGGUAUCGAACAGGAUUAGAUACCCUGGUAGUCCACGCAGUAAACGAUGAAUACUAGCUGUCCGGGGCGAAUGAGCCCUGGGUGGCACAGCGAAAGCGUUAAGUAUUCCACCUGGGGAGUACGCCGGCAACGGUGAAACUCAAAGGAAUUGACGGGGGCCCGCACAAGCGGAGGAACAUGUGGUUUAAUUCGAUGAUACGCGAGGAACCUUACCCGGGCUCAAACGACACAGGAACGGUCCUGAAAGGGGUCGGCUCUACGGAGCCUGUGUCGAGGUGCUGCAUGGUUGUCGUCAGCUCGUGCCGUGAGGUGUCGGCUUAAGUGCCAUAACGAGCGCAACCCCCAUCGACAGUUGCUAACAGGUCAGGCUGAGGACUCUGUCGAGACUGCCGGCGCAAGCUGCGAGGAAGGCGGGGAUGACGUCAAAUCAGCACGGCCCUUACGUCCGGGGCGACACACGUGUUACAAUGGCAGGUACAGCGGGAAGCCACCUGGCGACAGGGAGCGGAACCCGAAAGCCUGUCUCAGUUCGGAUUGGAGUCUGCAACCCGACUCCAUGAAGCUGGAUUCGCUAGUAAUCGCGCAUCAGCCACGGCGCGGUGAAUACGUUCCCGGGCCUUGUACACACCGCCCGUCAAG